GUCGAGAAUCUUCCGCAAUGCGCGAAAGCGUGACGGAGCGACACCGCGUGAUGGAUGAAGUCCUUCGGGGCGUAAACAUCUUUUAUAAAGGAGGAAAUUUUUGACGUUACUUUAUGAAUAAGGGGCUCCCAAUCUCGUGCCAGCAGGAGCGGUAAUACGAGAGCCUCAAGCGUUAUCCGGAAUCAUUGGGCGUAAAGGGUGCGUAGGUGGUUUGAUUAGUCUCCCGUUAAAACUUCGAGCUUAACUCGAAAAGAGCGGGGGAAACGGUCAAACUAGAGUAUGUGAGAGGUGUGUGGAACUCAUGGUGUAGGGGUGAAAGCCGUUGAUAUCAUGGGGAACACCAAAAGCGAAGGCAGCACACUGGCACAUCACUGACACUGAGGCACGAAACCUAAGGUAGCGAAUGGGAUUAGAUACCCGGGUAGUCC
rnacentral:rRNA from 1 species